GGGUCAGUAGGUUGGUCGUGCCACCGGUACGUACUGGUCUCACUGAUUCCUCCUUCCUGAAGAACCGUAAUGCCAUUAAUUUGGUGCUGCGGGGAAACAGGACUGUUACUUUGAAAAAAUUAGAGUGUUUAAGGCAAGCUAACGCUUGAAUACAUUAGCAUGGAAUAAUGAAAUAGGACGAUCGAUCCUAUUUUGUUGGUUUCUAGGAUUGACGUA
rnacentral:rRNA from 1 species